CCCCCUCUCUCCCGCUGGGAACUAAGCAUAUCAAUAAGCGGAGGAAAAGAAACUACAAGGAUUCCCCUAGUAACUGCGAGUGAAGCGGGAAAAGCUCAAAUUUAAAAUCUGGUGGCCUUUGGCCAUCCGAGUUGUAAUUUAGAGAAGCGUCUUCCGCGCUGGACCGUGCACAAGUCUCCUGGAAUGGAGCGUCGUAGAGGGUGAGAAUCCCGUCUUUGGCACGGACGCCCAGUGCUUCUGUGAUGCGCUCUCGAAGAGUCGAGUUGUUUGGGAAUGCAGCUCAAAAUGGGUGGUGAACUCCAUCUAAAGCUAAAUAUUGGCGAGAGACCGAUAGCGAACAAGUACCGUGAGGGAAAGAUGAAAAGCACUUUGGAAAGAGAGUGAAACAGUACGUGAAAUUGUUGAAAGGGAAACGCUUGAAGUCAGUCGCGUCGUCCGAGACUCAGCCUCGCCUCGGCUUGGUGUACUUCUCGGCCGACGGGUCAGCAUCAAUUUUGCCCCUUGGAUAAUGGCGAGGGAAAUGUGACACCUUUGCGGGUGUGUUAUAGUCUCUAGUCGCAUGCAAGGGUCGGGAUUGAGGAACUCAGCACGCGCCUUCGGGCGUCGGGGUUCGCCCACGAUACGUGCUUAGGAUGUUGGCGUAAUGGCUUUAAAUGACCCGUCUUGAAACACGGACCAAGGAGUCUAACAUGCCCGCGAGUGUUCGGGUGGAAAACCCGUGCGCGCAAUGAAAGUGAAAGUUGGGACCUCUGUCGUGGAGGGCACCAACGCCCGGACCAGACCUUCUGUGACGGAUCUGCGGUAGAGCGUGUAUGUUAGGACCCGAAAGAUGGUGAACUAUGCCUGAAUAGGGUGAAGCCAGAGGAAACUCUGGUGGAGGCUCGUAGCGAUUCUGACGUGCAAAUCGAUCGUCAAAUUUGGGUAUAGGGGCGAAAGACUAAUCGAACCAGCCCAGGGCCU
rnacentral:rRNA from 1 species